UGCUAAAUUGGUGAAUCAAGAAAAGGCGAAAACUCUUUUGUUCAAGUCCAAAUCUUUGUGUGCUUCAGUUUAAUUGUUCUUGAGUCAAGUCUUGCUUUAUAAUUGAAUUACUCAUCUUAUAAGAGUAAUGUCUUUCUCUAGGCAAUAUAGUGCUUAGGUAGAGUUACCUGAGGUCAAAUCGAUUAGAGCCAGUUGAUUGGGAUGUUGUUGAGUUGAGUAAAGGUGGUUGUAGUAGAGCUAUUGCAACCAACGGAACUUAGAGUUAAGUUCUUGGAGUUUGUAACUAAUGAAUUCUGAUUAUAGUGAAGUUUGAGUUCUUGUGAAGGCAAGUCGUGGUUUUUCCUCCCUUGAGCAAGGAGGUUGUCACAUAAAUUGCUGUGUUCUUUUAACUCCUGUCAGUUUUAGUUCGUUACUAUUUUAUUAUAGUCUCAGGGACUAGGUCCCUAGAAUGGUGGUGUGUGGCAGAGAAAUGACUUUUGGUGAUUUUUCACAAGUUAAAAUACUUUUAAAAAAGUUUUUAAACUCAUGGGUAGGGUCGCCACUUAAUUUAUUUAGAAAAAUCAAGAAAACCUUUAUAAAUUACUUAAAUGAUUCAAAAUAGAAAAAUCAUUUAAGUUUGAAAAUUCUGUGUAAGUGGUUCUUAUUAAUACUUUUGGAAGGUUGUUAAGACACCAAAAGUAUCUUCUAACUUGCGAUUACCCGAACUAUUUGAAAACGAUUCUUUGACUAACUUUGAAAAAAUAAGUUGAUUUUUGAAAAGAAUCGAUUAAGAAAACAUGUUUGAAGUUUAUGCAAAAUCAUAUUUUGACGAUGUAGGAGGAAAUUUAACUAGUUCUAAUAAAGUUAAAAUCAAAUAGCACAUAAAAGGAGAAAUGAGAGAAUUAGGAGACUUAGGCUUGUAAGCCCAAAUCUAUCAACUUUGUCCUAAUCUAAUUGGGUUUUUGGUCUUCCUGUAUCUAUCCUAAACUAUUCAUUUGGGCUUUUGACCGAUCAUCACCUGUUCUAAUCUAGAUAUUGGGCUUUUAACCCAUAACCUGUCCUAAACUAUCUUUCUGGACUUUUGAGAGCCAAAAUUUGCUUCAACUGUAUCAAAAUACAACUUUGACUUCGAGGCCUAAAUGAAUGAAUGAAUAAAUAAAUAAAUAAAACAAAGCAAUAAUAAAGUUGAGACUUUUUUAAGUCUCUUAGCGACUUCAUCAAAUGGGUUUUGACCCAUUUUCUUGUUCUUCCAUCUUCUUACAUUUGUAUGUCAUAUUUAAUCCUGUUGAACCAGCUUUCAAUGUCUCCUAAAAGGUGGGCCUCAAUGGCCCAUUGCGUAACGCAAGGGGAAAAAGUCCAUUUAGACUCCCACGCAGGUUCAUGCAAAGAAAAGGAUGAAGGAAUUAAUAUGCGUCCAAGAAUUUAAUAAUUAAUAAACUAUGGGAUUCAUACCUCAUUUAAAUAUACUUGCACAUAGGUAAAAUAUAGAAGGAACAAAAGUCUAUAAAAUUUGAAGAAAGACUCAUAAUUAAUCAAAGACAUUCCAAUUACAAGAAGGAAUAACGCCCAAAACAUGGUGUCCUUAUGAUUCUUAGCAAAUAAAGCAAACAGUUUAUCAUUUUACUGCUACGAAAGGACCCAACAAACAUGUUACGAAAGGAUUUUGUGAAGCAAUAAUAAAGGAGUAGAUCAACCAAAGAAAAUACGAGGAAUAGGCUAGGAAAGGAACGAUAAACCCAAACACAAGUGCAAUACCAAGGGCAAAAUUCAACAUUUGAGGGAUUACUAUUUCUCAAACAGAAUUCGAGUCCUAGUUCCUUACAAAACUAAGAAAAAAGAAUACAAGAUCAUGAAUUUAUUUAAUUUACAUACAGUGAUUAAUGUUUAAGGGGAGAAAGAAUUAUAAUGCCAACAAGUAGAUUUCAUAUGACACAUGACUAAUAAGGUGAUCUCUUUUCAAAGAAACCAUAACAUUCUAAAGGAAAUAUUUUCCCUCCAUUUGUUAUGCGCAUGGGAAUAAGUUAUUAUUAUAACUUGAAAGCAUCAAAUAAUUUAGCUCAAUGUCUAAACUUGGAAGGACAUACAUGCAGCAAACAUAGACAUAGACUACUGGGAAAUUUCAAGCAUAACCACUUUCAUAUCUCAAACAUUAACAACCAAGACCAUAGAAAAUUCAAUUUAGAUACGUCAACAUGUCAUUUAUUUAACUCAUCAGCUGAAUAUGAAUCCAGAAGCUAGGUAACUUAAAUCUUUAUGUUCAAUUUCUUUUAAGAGAUAAGUCUAAGUAAAGGAUUAUCUAUACAAAGAAAAAGCAAGGUCCAGGCAGCACAUGCAUACAUAAGCAAAGAAGUAUCAUAUCAAAAGGAUUUCAUGCUUCACACUGAAAUCCCAUGAAACUAUCACAGAACAAGGUCUGAUAAUUAAGUUCAACUAAGUUAAGAUAGUAAGUCCGCAACUUAAAAUACAAGGGUGAAAAGAUUGAAAGAAAAAAACACAGAGAAUUGCAGGCCAAAUGACAACUAGUGUCUAAAUUUUCACUAUUUGCAAACUCAAAUUUACCCAAAAAAAAACUUGUUGAAUUACAAAUGUUAGCUAGCAGUUUUGAACCAAAAAAACGUAUAGCCUUCUAGGGAUGGAAACAAUUAUGUUGCAGGUGAUUCUAAAUCAAAACAGUGCACUUAUAUCUAUUCUUAGCAAGGAGGAUAAUUAAUUAGGAAUCAUGGGGUAGUUUUGACAUGACCAAAUGAGAAUCUCCAUACCAAAAAGUUCAUAGAAAAAUAGAAGGAAAGCAUUCUGUUGUAACAAAAGACGCAACUCACUUUCCAACAAAAAAAGCUUAUUACAAAAGUAAGAUCGAUAUCUGUAAACAAGAAGAUGGUUAUUUCUCGUGCAUUGGCAUUCUCCAGAAAGAAAACCAUCAAAAUCCAUAUUUUAGUAUUUCAACUACUAGUUCUUAUACAACAGGGAAAAUGCUACACUUAUCAAUUCCAUUAAACUGAGAACACUCUACAGAGGAAUUGCCUCAUGUGCAUUAUUGGCCUAUUUGAAGCUAAAAAGCUAUCAACCAAACAAAAAGACUAAAGAAAAUUAUGGCAUAGACCCAACAAGCAUCAAUUCAAACAAAGAAAAGCAGUGAAUUCAAGCAUAACAUUAUGAUACAGAUCACACAAAAAUCCUAUGGCCUUCAAGGCCUUUACGACAAACAAUCCCAUCAUACAUACUAUCCAAAACACUACUAUGACUACAGAACGACAAGAUGGAGAAGAAAUAAAAUCAAAACUAAAUAGAAUGAGGUAUUACCUAUUUCGAAUUAGAAAAAUGGGACUCAAACUAUCAUCGAAAUAUGGACCAUCACCGAAAAGCUUCGCCGUGACUCUAAGAACUUUGAGUAUUCGUCGAUUUUUAAUGAAAAAAUAUAUUUACUAGAAAAACGAGACUUUUUUAUUGAAAGCUUUUUCAACCUUCAAGACUUGUUCAAUUUUUCUCUAAAGAGGGCUUUAUAUAGAAAGGAUUUGAGGGUCUACUUUGAAUUCCCAGCCGAUGUGGGAUAUGCGAAUCAAGGAGCAAAUUUGGUAUUAUUUAAGAGAGUUUUGAAUUUGAGAUAAGAGGAUAAAAGGGAUGAGCUGGAUUUUGUACUAAUUAGUACAAAAAUUUGAAUUUUAAAUUUUAAAUUGACAAUCGGAUAAGGUUUAGCUAUUGGAAAUCAUGGUUAUUGAAGUUGUUCGGGUCGGAGUCGGGUUGUACGCUAGCUGCCACUGGAUUGGGUCACGGGUUGCGGGUGAAAGUUGAAAGGUUUAGC
rnacentral:lncRNA from 1 species